GGCUGGUCCGCAUGCAGUGGCAUUUACAACUGACUGGUCUACAGAGGCCGGUCUCUGUCCCUCUCCAUCCCACGGCUCCUUCUGGCUGACCUAGA
rnacentral:sRNA from 1 species